GGGAAGGGGUGAGGGUUCCUCUAAGAAGGCCUUUUCUUUCCUAAAUUCAGGUCUUUCACAGUGUCUGCAGGCCUCAUGAGAUGAACGGGGUGUUUGGGGAUUGACAAAAAAGGAUACGUGUGCUUUGAAUUGCUCCCAGGGCUACAUUUCUGUUCUUGUAAAGACUAGGUUUGUAAGGCAAAGACAGUUUCUAAUUCCACAAGGAACUGGGCUGCAACUUGAGUGAAGUUGACUUUUUUCCCUUUUUGGGGGGAGGGCUCUUUUUAGGACCGUACCCACAACAUAUGGAGGUUCCCAGGCUAGGGGUUGAAUCAGAGCUGUAGCCGCUGGCCUACACCACAGCCGCAGCCAUGUGAGAUCCAAGCCGCGUCUUCAACCUACACCACGGCUCACAGCAACGCCAGGGAUCGAACCUGAGUCUUCAUGGGUAUGAGUCGGGUUUGUUAACUGCUGAGUCACAAAGGGAACUUGGACAGUUUUUUUUGUUUGUUUGUUUUUUUAAAGUUUGGAGGCAGCCAUGGCAUCUGAGGGAUACGGCUGAUUUCAAGCUCCCUCCGUUUGGUUGACAUGUCCAACUUUAUUUGGGAUUUGGACACAGACAGUCUGUCUUCUGGUUCAAGAAGCUUAUGAACAAGAAUACACCCUGACCCUUGCCUGACUUCCUGGAGAAUUUUCCACUGGAAAAGACAGUGAUGAAAGGACUCCUGCCUCCCCCCCGGGAAGGGUGUUUUCUGGUACCGCUCACCAGUUCCUACAUGGCUGAACUUGAAGGCAUCCGCCCCAACUGAGAGGAGUCACAGGACCAGCAAAGCCACUGGUGAUCUGACUCAAGACCUCCUGCCCCCAGAAGUAGACGACACCGGGUGUGGACAGCUGUCCCCAGAUGCUGGACCAGGCCUGUACCUGUCUUGAUUUCUGCCAUGUUCUCCUGUACUGUGAAAAUCACCAUCGCCCGACGCCUCCACUCCCUUUUCCUCACCUCAGGAGAGCUGUUACACGGAUGGGGUUCAGUGCGCACUUCCACGGGAAGCAUUGUCAACCAAGCGGUGGUCAACCUUCUGAGUUAUUUGUAUGGAAGCAUGUUUUUAAUCCAAGUCCCUGCUGCCCUGGCUGCGAGGUGGCACACGUGAAGCUCUGAUCAGGAAUCUCUCCUCAACUCUUCAAGAAAUUGCAGAAUCUGCUGCUAAAGCAAUAGCUGCCCAACAAAAAUCCCUCGACUUUCAGGCCAAAGUUGUUCUUGAAAAGACAGCCCCUUGACUGUCCUGUAGCUGAGCAAGGUGUCUGUGCUGUGACCAACACCACUGCUGCACCUGGGCCGACGCUUCUGGAGAGGUUGAGACUCAGCUCUGGAAGAUCACAAAACUAGCCAGGUAGCUUUACAAAGGGACUCCUUCAAUGGUCUCUUUCUUGGAUUCACUUGGUUCUGAUUAGUCUGGGUCUUGGGGAACCAUGGCUCCGAAGUCAACUCCAGGCACUGGGCAUGCCUUGGCUUAGUUAGCACAGGGGCCACCCUCGUGUGCUGUGUUCUCUCAAAAGCUUCCAAUGCAACUUUGCAGCCACCAAGUAAAUGAACUCCCUCAGAAGAGAACAGCAGAAAAAGAACAAAGAGAACGGUCUCCUCAAAAAACCUGACCCAAUGUCACAAACCAUGAACACCACACAGAGAUUCAGCAAAACCUGGGAAGAGCCCCAGAGCAGCAGCUGGAAGCAGCACGC
rnacentral:lncRNA from 1 species